AAAAAGCUUUCUGUUUUAGCAGAUGUGAUAAAUUGGCAUAACUGAGAUGCAAUCAUCUACCACCUCCAGGUCAUUCUUUAUCCUUAUGCAUCGUUGAACCUAAAUGCAAAACUUAACAUUUAUCACUAUUAAGUUCCACCCAUUUGUUUCAGUUUAUAGUUAGGAUGAAGCCUUUCUAAAAAUGUAAUAACAUUGUCCAAUAUGUUAUUAGUUCUCCUUCCUAACUUUGUUUCAGUUAUCUCAUAAGCUUGCUUUAACAUUUUUAUUAUGGCAAAAUAUAUAUGACAUAAAAUUUACCCUUUUGACAACUUUUAAGUGUACAAUUCAGUGGCAUUAAGUACAUUCAUUUUGUUAUACAACCAUCACCACUAAUUAUAGCAAACUUUAGAGACUUGCUGAAUCCAUUUUAUGGUUAGUAUUAACUUCAACUAAAUAGCAACAACAACUUUUGCUCCACAUUAUCCUUUACUCUCUCCCUCUCAAAUGGCUCUUUCUAUUGGCUCUUUUUUUUUUAAUUAUACUUUAAGUUUUAGGGUACAUGUGCACAACGUGCAGGUUUGUUACAUAUGUAUACAUGUGCCAUGUUGGUGUGCUGCACCCAUUAACUCAUCAUUUAACAUUAGGUAUAUCAUUAGGAAGGAGGCUAACCCCUGUUCUCUAAACUAAGCUCUGUGUCAUCCACUCUCAGCAAAAAAGUAUCCAUACUCAAAGGCUGGGGGUGGCCCCACCUUGCUACCAAAGCUCAGAAAACCGAUCUGACAGUUGAGUCACAACUCUGCUACACAUUUCUUUAAUCUAAGACUUUUCUUUUCCUGUCAUAAUCCUAUCUUUCCUUGUACAUCCUAUACUAAAUGCCUUCCAGGAAUCUUUCUCUGAUCCAAUUAAGUGCCUUUAAAAUGUUCAUAUCCCAGGCUCCCCUGCCACCCCCACCACACACACACAUACAAUUCUGCUUAGACUACAAAGUCUUCUCUACUUGUAGGAAUUUCUAUAGUUUGUUUUGCGGGAGCAAAAGAGUUCUGUUGAUAUAGAUUUUUCAAACAACCGAGAGUCCCUACACCAAGAUAUUCUGACACAGCAAGGGUAGGAGGCUAUCCCACCUCUUUAACCCCUCCCUGAAAAUUCCUGCUGUUCCAAGAAAUCAUUUCUCCCACUGGUAUCCACAACACCUAACUAGUUCUCCCUUCCAUUAUAGGUACAGUAAUUUUAACUGGAUUUUAACAAAACUUUUAUUCCUAUUUUCUUAGCUUACAUUUACAUGUUCUAGCUUUUAAUUUAAAAAUAAAUUAAAUCUGACAUAAUUCAUCUAUUUUGCAUCAACUUUUUAUCUUUUGUCUCAUUUUAAAUGUUUUAUUUCAUUUACAUUUAUUCCUUUACUUGGGGUUUGUUUUUAUAAUGCUUAACAAGCAGAAUGAAGCCAAAAAGAAAAAGGCCUUCUCCAUCUCUCCCUUCAGCUCCUCUGCUUCUCAACUCCAAACUUAUUGAAGAAUUCUACCCUUAGGAAAUUCAGGUCAUUUUCUAGGCCUUAUGCCUCAGAGUACACAUGUGAUUUACGUGACAAAUGUUGCUCCCUAGCAUCUCACUCCACCGAAAACUUUUUUCGGUGUUACUCUUUCGCCCAGGCUAGAAAGUGGCACCAUCUCGGCUCACUACAACCUCCAUUUCCCAGGUUCAAGCAAUUCUCUUGCCUCAGCCUCCCUAGUAUCUGGGACUACAGAC
rnacentral:lncRNA from 1 species